rnacentral:lncRNA from 1 species
AUGCAGAAUGACACUGGUGAGUUCAUAGGCCUGUACAUGCCAUGGAAAUGGUCCAAUAGCAACUGCAUCAUCGAUGCCAAGGACCACAAAUCCAUCCAGAUGAACGGGGCCAAGGUUGACAAGGUAGCAGGCAGGUUUAACCACCAGUUUAAAACCUAUGCUAUCUGCAGGGCCAUUCGCAGGAUGGGUAAGUCACAUGACUGCAUUCUCCAAUUGGCCAAGACCGACGGAUUGUAUUAA